rnacentral:rRNA from 1 species
UACGAAGGGGGCUAGCGUUGUUCGGAAUUACUGGGCGUAAAGCGCGCGCAGGCGGCCAUUCAAGUCAGGGGUGAAAGCCCAGAGCUCAACUCUGGAACUGCCCUUGAAACUGUAUGGCUUGAGUAUGAGAGAGGUGAGUGGAAUUCCCAGUGUAGAGGUGAAAUUCGUAGAUAUUGGGAAGAACACCGGUGGCGAAGGCGGCUCGCUGGCUCAUUACUGACGCUCAGGCGCGACAGCGUGGGGAUCAAACAGG